UACCUGGUUGAUUCUGCCAGUAGUCAUAUGCUUGUCUCAAAGAUUAAGCCAUGCAUGUCUAAGUAUAAGCAAUUAUACAGCGAAACUGCGAAUGGCUCAUUAUAUAAGUUAUCGUUUAUUUGAUAGUACCUUACUACAUGGAUAACCGUGGUAAUUCUAGAGCUAAUACAUGCUAAAAACCCCGACUCACGAAGGGGUGUAUUUAUUAGAUUAAAAACCAAUGCCCUUCGGGGCUCACUGGUGAUUCAUAAUAACUUCUCGAAUCGCAUGGCCUUGCGCCGGCGAUGGUUCAUUCAAAUUUCUUCCCUAUCAACUUUCGAUGCUAGAGUAGUGUUCUAGCAUGGUUACAACGGGUAACGGAGGGUUAGGGCUCGACCCCGGAGAAGGAGCCUGAGAAACGGCUACUACAUCCAAGGAAGGCAGCAGGCGCGCAAAUUACCCAAUCCCGACACGGGGAGGUAGUGACGAUAAAUACUGAUACAGGGCUCUUUUGGGUCUUGUAAUUGGAAUGAGUACAAUUUAAAUCCCUUAACGAGGAACAAUUGGAGGGCAAGUCUGGUGCCAGCAGCCGCGGUAAUUCCAGCUCCAAUAGCGUAUAUUAAAGUUGUUGUGGUUAAAAAGCUCGUAGUAGAACCUUGGGCCUGGCUGGCCGGUCCGCCUCACCGCGUGCACUGGUCCGGCCGGGCCUUUCCCUCUGCGGAACCGCAUGCCCUUCACUGGGUGUGCCGGGGAAGCAGGACUUUUACUUUGAAAAAAUUAGAGUGCUCCAGGCAGGCCUAUGCUCGAAUACAUUAGCAUGGAAUAAUAGAAUAGGACGUGUGGUUCUAUUUUGUUGGUUUCUAGGACCGCCGUAAUGAUUAAUAGGGACAGUCGGGGGCAUCAGUAUUCAAUUGUCAGAGGUGAAAUUCUUGGAUUUAUUGAAGACUAACUACUGCGAAAGCAUUUGCCAAGGAUGUUUUCAUUUAUCAGGAACGAAAGUUAGGGGAUCGAAGACGAUCAGAUACCGUCGUAGUCUUAACCAUAAACUAUGCCGACUAGGGAUCGGACGAUGUUAUUUUUUGACUCGUUCGGCACCUUACGAGAAAUCAAAGUGCUUGGGCUCCAGGGGGAGUAUGGUCGCAAGGCUGAAACUUAAAGAAAUUGACGGAAGGGCACCACCAGGGGUGGAGCCUGCGGCUUAAUUUGACUCAACACGGGGAAACUCACCAGGUCCAGACACAAUGAGGAUUGACAGAUUGAGAGCUCUUUCUUGAUUUUGUGGGUGGUGGUGCAUGGCGUUCUUAGUUGGUGGAGUGAUUUGUCUGCUUAAUUGCGAUAACGAACGAGACCUUGACCUGCUAAAUAGCCCGUAUUGCUUUGGCAGUACGCCGGCUUCUUAGAGGGACUAUCGGCUCAAGCCGAUGGAAGUGCGAGGCAAUAACAGGUCUGUGAUGCCCUUAGAUGUUCUGGGCCGCACGCGCGUUACACUGACGGAGCCAGCGAGUACUCCCUUGGCCGGAAGGCCCGGGUAAUCUUGUUAAACUCCGUCGUGCUGGGAUAGAGCAUUGCAAUUAUUGCUCUUCACGAGGAAUCCCUAGUAAGCGCAAGUCAUCAGCUUGCGUUGAUUACGUCCCUGCCCUUUGUACACACCGCCCGUCGCUACUACCGAUUGAAUGGCUCAGUGAGGCUUUCGGACUGGCCCAGAGAGGUGGGCAACUACCACUCAGGGCCGGAAAGUUAUCCAAACUCGGUCAUUUAGAGGAAGUAAAAGUCGUAACAAGGUCUCCGUUGGUGACCAGCGGAGGGAUCAUUA
rfam:Glomerella graminicola M1.001 genomic scaffold supercont1.112, whole genome shotgun sequence.